rnacentral:rRNA from 2 species
UGUACACACCGCCCGUCACACCAUGGGAGUGGGUUGCAAAAGAAGUAGGUAGCUUAACCUUCGGGAGGGCGCUUACCACUUUGUGAUUCAUGACUGGGGUGAAGUCGUAACAAGGUAACCGUAGGGGAACCUGCGGUUGGAUCACCUCCUUACCUUAAAGAA